GUUUAGAGGUGGGACAGAAGACUACAGAGAGUCAGAGGGCUCACAGAAUGUAAGGAAGGCUGAAGGAUUGGGGAUAUUUUAAUCAUUGUCCUAUCACAGAUGGGUCCAAUCAUGAAUUAGUUCAGGAUUUGAGUUGGAAGUAUCUGUGAGGAAUGUCAGAGCUAACCCCCAGGGAUGUGGAUGUUAGGGAAACAGCUCAGGAGGUAUGUAGGGUUGUCAAUGGUGGAAAUGAUGACCAAGUGGCAGUGGGUGUGCAAGAGUGUGUGAGGUGAGAAGAGCAGAGAAGGAUGGAUCCUGGGACCAAAUUCCUCCUUCUGUCACUCCAAAGGAUGGACCGCUACCCUCAUGUUCAGGGAGAGGAGCCCGCACUCUGUGCCUGCAGCAGUCCCUGUGCACUUUCCUUCUGUUCCCUGAGUUAGGGCUACUGUUUUGCUCCCUGUAGAGGCCACUCCUCAAAGAGACCCCAGAAUGCAAUGCUGUCCCUGGAGCUGUGCGCAGAAAGACUCUGCUGGGAUUCCUGGAUUCUCCAGCUUCUCUCUUGCAGAGGCCUUCUUUCCUAGGGCCUCUCCUUGGAAGCCAGCUUUCACAGUGAGCCUGAACUUGCUGAUGUUCUUAACCCUUGGGACUGCCUACCACACCAAGAGAGAACAUACCACAAAGUGGCAGGAGGUGCAGGAACAGGAGAAACUGCAUGAGGACAAGCAAAAGGACCAGAACACAAAGGAAAGUGUUCUGAAUGCCAGAGAUGAUCUGCAAGCAGUUCUUGGAAAGUUCUGUUCUUUCUCCAGAACUUUCUGCAUCCCCUUUGUAGGAGGUGUUCUGGUUCUCACCUUCUGUUUCCUGUGUUACCUUUAAGACUGGAGGAAAUCUAUUUACCUGGCUGGUUUUGAGGCAAAUGAGAGCUAAAUGACUUGGCGAAGGACUCAAAAUGGCUGUGGACAGGAGUGAAACUCAGCCUGCAAUGCAGACUUCCUGACCUGUGGUCCAGGGACUUUCCCUCAAUACCCUGCUGUCAGCACGUGGCAGGAGGUCAUCUCCUCUCCAGAUUUUCCCUGCUCUGCAGCUAGUGUCACCUAUAUUCCAGAGGGCAGACAAGGGUCUGUAGAUGAAUGCUGAGCAGGCUUGUUCUGACUGAGUUCUCACCAGGGUGUGCUCCCUUUCAGCCAGGAGGAAGGCACAGCUAUAUGCAGUAUCUGGCACUCUAGAUCCAGAGUCUGCACAUCCUGACCUUGAUGUCUCUGAUAAAAAGACUAAUAUGAUCUGAAUGGACACAUUUGAGGAUAUAGGAGAGACACAGCAUCCUGGACUGUGAGCUCCAAACAUCACAGUGAUGUUACUGGGAGGUGAAAAUCAAGAGUAGAAACAGAAAUGAGUGGGCUCUGGGGGUCUGUAGGGAAGGUGUGAAGAAGUAGGACUGGCACAAGAGUUCCCAGAAAAGGGGUUCUGGAUUGUGGGCACUUUGCCAAUAUAUAUUAUUCCUGCACCAUCACUGUGAAUCAACUAAUCCUUGUGCAAGUUCUCCACAGGGUAGGGGUUUUCCUGGACCUCAAUAAAGGUGUUGUCUGCUUUUAUAACAUGACUGAUAGCUUCCACAUUUUCUCCUUCUCUUUAGCUUCCUCCACUGGCUCUCUGUUUCUAUAUAUCAUGUCUCGGUCAGGAGAUGUGUCCCUGACAUUUUCUCUGUGGUGGGUGGGCCUGGAGAGGACCCUGUGCUUUAUCCUUCUUUGGAAGAGACUGUGAACCUUUCAGGGCAGGGUUUUAGUCCAGGCUCUGGUGUUGAUGGUGCUUUCCAAGGAGCCAAAUCUUCAUUACUUUCUUGUAGCCCAAUGUUAUAUCCCCCUUACGGCCCAACAUAGUCUCAAACUGCUCAUGGUGGUUCUUAUUGAAGCUGCAGACUCCCUGAAGCAAAAGGAUUGAGGCUGGUACUGGGUGAGCUGGUGUCCUGCCCUCCUGUUCUGGAUACAGACUCCUGGUGUGGUUAUGAGAAUAGUUAGUUUAUACCUUAUGCUCAGGUAGCAGAAGAUAAAAGUUGACUCUUGUUUGAGCUGAUUUGGGGUAGGCUGAAUUUUACUGCCAGAGGUCAUGUUUCUUUUGGUAAUGAAAAUUAUUUCUUUUAAAAAGAUUUUAAUCAUCAUUUAUAUUUCAUUUAUAUUAUCAGUGCCCUUAU